AUUGAACGCUGGCGGCAUGCCUUACACAUGCAAGUCGAACGGUAACAGGUCUUCGGAUGCUGACGAGUGGCGAACGGGUGAGUAAUACAUCGGAACGUGCCCGUUCGUGGGGGAUAACUACUCGAAAGAGUAGCGAAUCACGCAUACAAUCUACGGAUGAAAGCGGGGGAUCUCCGGACCUCGUGCGGACGGAGCGGGCGCUGGCAGAUGAGGUAGUUGGUGGGAUAAAAGCUUACCAAGCCGACGAUCUGUAGCUGGUCUGAGAGGACGACCAGCCACACUGGGACUGAGACACGGCCCAGACUCCUACGGGAGGCAGCAGUGGGGAAUUUUGGACAAUGGGCGAAAGCCUGAUCCAGCAAUGCCGCGUGCAGGAUGAAGGCCUUCGGGUUGUAAACUGCUUUUGUACGGAACGAAAAGACUCCUUCUAAUACAGGGGGUCCAUGACGGUACCGUAAGAAUAAGCACCGGCUAACUACGUGCCAGCAGCCGCGGUAAGAC
rnacentral:rRNA from 1 species